UCCCUUGUUCAGAAGCCUCUCGCAGCUUC
rnacentral:piRNA from 1 species